rnacentral:rRNA from 1 species
GACGAACCGUGCGAACGUUGUUCGGAAUCACUGGGCUUAAAGGGCGCGUAGGCGGCCCGCGAGGUCGGGGGUGAAAUCCCACGGCUCAACCGUGGAAGGGCCUCCGAUACCGGCGGGCUGGAGGAAGGUAGGGGUGCGCGGAACUUCUGGUGGAGCGGUGAAAUGCGUUGAUAUCAGAAGGAACGCCGGCGGCGAAAGCGGCGCACUGGACCUUUUCUGACGCUGAGGCGCGAAAGCCAGGGGAGCAAACGGGG